ACAGGUUUGUUGACUGUAAAGAGAGAAAACUUCCCAGGAAUGAGGGAGUUUGGGGGGGGGGGAGGGAACAGUGUGCAGAGAGAUACAGAUGGGGGCCAGUGAGGAAGUCCGCCCGGGACGCGGGAUGCUCGCUCAUUGAGGCUGUCCAACUCGACUGCCGGCCCAACACACUUCGGAGGCAUUACUUUCUUGCGGAUAGCUAACUCCGUGUUACUUGCCCCUUCUGCAGCCGCUGUCCCAGCGAGGGAGCCAGCUCGAGGCCUGGGUUCUAGUUCCCCAGCCACGCGUCCAGCCGGGGGCGGACACUGUGGGGGAGAUAAGACUGCAAGUGGAGCCUCUCCAGGGCCUGCGCUCCAGCAUUCGCUACUCAUAAGUGAGAUGGAGGGCCGAGCUUGCAGACUUCAUAGAGAAGAGCGGUCAGCGCUUGCUGUAGUGGGGUCUCGCUUGUCCUCGGGUGCCUGCCUCGAGUUUCUCCCCCAACUUGGCCCGGGCAGAAGGGGUGGGAGAGCCAGCUGCAGGUGAGGUGGUUUAUCUGAUUCUCUAAUGCCACAAAAAUGUCUUUGAUGCCCCUGACCCCCUCCCCACGCGGAAGAGAUCAAAGGCCUCGUGGGGAGGAGGGACAGCUCCAUUCAUCAAGCCAAGCGGCUGGCAGCGGGGCGGCAGCCUCUGCUUCUCUGGCUUGGGGCAGAGGCCCCCCGACGUGCCCCAGGAGUGGCGAGGGACAGGUGGUGCGGACAUUCCGAAGCAGGAGCCAAUUUCUCUGCCACCACUAUCUAGAGGACCCAUCAACCUUAGACAGGGACCUUAAGCCCACGUGGCAGACAUUUCACACCAGAGGGAAACGUUCCUUGUCGUUUGGGGUGGAAUUUAGAAGUGGAAACUGAGAACACCGCCAAUAUAGACAAACACCACUGGUGGGCGAAGAGAAAGCAAGGUCCUGAGUCGUCCAGAGAGCAGGGAAAAUGAGUGAAGAUGAGAUUUGGGGCCAGAAAAGAGGCAUGAGAAGACCGCAAAUGACUCCAUCAGGACGGGGAGCAGAUUGCGGAAGGAAGGUGAAUGACCGACAGAAGAAGAGAGAAGAGGAAAAACCUUAUCCUAGACACAAAAAUAAGGCCUUGGAUUGUCUGGAGACCCCCAAGGCAGGGCCCUGGUGUCGAAGAUGUACCAGUGAAGUCCUUGUCCUGGGUACUGAGGUUUGAAGAGUGUAGGAGCACUCUGGGGAAGGAAGGAAGUAGGGAGGAGGGAGACAGCAGUGCUCAGGCAGAUAAUCGACCAACUGCGUUCCUCCCCUUCUAGCGCACGCUGCUCCAGCACGUAGCAGUUUUGUUCAGCCCUUGUAUUAGGCAGUACCAAGGCUGAGCAUAGCACAUUCAAGGAUAUACCAGACUGGAAAGGGGACGGUAUUCUUCAGUGGAGGACAAGCACAGAAGCUUAUUGGAUAUAGUAGCGUUUCCUCACCCAACCAGGUCUUCUAAGCUUAGACCAGAAGUUGGAGAGUCCAUCGGAUUCCUAGGCUGGGCCCUCUCCAGGCCCUGGUGGUUAACUCCACACCCUGGUUAACUCCAAGAGCCACCUCACCCAAGGACAAGGCCACAGCGCCAUCUCCUGGCCAAUGGCACACGGUUCCUCAGGAAAGAAUAAAAGCUUGUCCACGGCGUGGGGGGCGGGGGGUGAACCCAGAAUGAAGUCCAGCUUGUAAAGCUAGCAGUACGGCUUAGGGGCUCCAAAACUAAAGCCUCGAGGAGGCGCGGAGAAAGCCCUUGUGCAUUGGGACGGAGCUGUUCAUCUGGCCUUGCUUUCUGGAGAUGGUGCCAACAGCGAUCAGACACCUCAUAGGACUUCUGAAUUGCAAUCAAAAGAAGUUACUCAAAGGGGGAGGGGAAUCCCUGUCUGUAUGUGAAACUCUAAAUACAUUUUUGAGUGUUUGAAUAGCCGCAAGUAGCCAUGUUUACUAUUACACAGGCGCCAGCCACAGAGAAAUCCUAUCUCAAGCCUCACACACCCACCCCCUCAAAAAAUUACACAGGCUUUAAAAUGUGAAGUAUGCUUAUUGUAUUGGAACCAGAAACGUCCACUAUAAGAUUGUGCCAAGUGAUGAAAAGAGCCCCAAAUGUAAUGCCUUUUCCCCAACGUCUCAGUUGGCCCAGACUGAGUAGUUAAGGAUGGCCUUGAGCUUCUAGUGCACCCCCUCCACCUCCCCAGUGAUGGGGUUAUAGGUGUGAUCUCCAUCCCAGGUUUCUACGAUGACGGGGAUUGGACCUGGGGCCUUCUACAUGCUAGACUAGGACUCUACCAACGGAGUCACAUCCCAGCCUUGCUAAUUUUGUUAUUAAAACAUCAGCUAUUUAAUUGGGGAAAAACAAAUAGGUGGGGAAUUAAUUAGGAAAAUGUUUCAAACUCGUCAGGCUAAGUGUUCUUCAGGGACAGUCAUGGUCAGAGACUUGCUGAAUUUCUCUAAGCAUUUCUCCCUUGGCACAGGCCUGGCCCAGAGUGUGUGCUUCAUAAAUGCCUGUGGAGCCCCAGGUGAACAUGGCACUGGGCCCGAUACACCUGCCACAUACCACUCUUUGCCGUUCUUCUCCGCCCCUCAGCCCAUGGCCUCCAGUUGUUCCUUCUGACUGAGUGAGGGCGCAGCCCACGCAGGAAGGCUAUCACUGAGCCCCACAGACCAACCUUACGCUUCCCUCUGAUGGCGCCUCCAUUCCAAGUCAGCACCUCUUGGCCAGAGGCUGGUUCCCCGUGAGCCAGCCCCAGCAAGGUCAGCGACACUUUCUGCCACCCAGGCUUUGAUUCUGGAGGACCAGAUGACUGGAGACCUACACCUGCCGACUGCACUCCUUCCUACAUGGAUCCAUAGAGCCAUGAUCACCAUCAGGAGUGAGAUGCUCAUUCCCGCUUGUGAUACUAUGCCAACCCCCUCCCCAAUACCCACUCACUCCCCAGUCUGUCUACCCCACACUGGCAUGUCCUAGACAAGCCACCCAAUGCAAAUCAGAUUCCUACGGAGACACCACUGCUGAUGUCGUGCCCAGAGUGAACCACAAGAUACCCAGCAUGCUCAAGAAUGCCCUCCUGACAUGCCCGUAUCCCACAUUUGCCCCUACUUUUGUCACAAGUCCCACUUGUUGCGCUCACAUGCCCACUGUUUGCUUCCCCGGCACACCAAGUGUUUCCACUGCUCAGACCCUAACUCCACUAUUACAGCUUACCUACCACUUUGGGUCAUUUUGCUUUACGUUUCAGAAGGCAAGCAAGAUCUUUUCAGUUGAAUUCAGAUGUGGAAGCCCCCAAAGGGAGUGGCACUAUUAGGGGGUGUGGCUUUGUUGGAGUGGGUGUGGCUCUGUUAGAGGAAGUGUGUCACCAAAGAGGUGGGCUUCGAGGUCUCAUAUAUGCUCAAGUUAUCACCCAGUGUCUCAGACCACUUCCUGUUGCCUGCAAAUCAAGAUGUAGGACACUCAGCUACUUCUUCAGCACCAUGUCUGCCUCAUGUCCCCAUGUCCCACCAUGAUGAUGAUGAACUGAACCUCUACAGAGUAAGUGAACCAUCACAAAUAAAUGGUUUCAUUUAUAAGAGUUGCUGUGGUCAUGGCUUCUCUUCACAGAAACCCCUAACUAAGA